rnacentral:rRNA from 1 species
UGCGUAGGUGGUUUGGUAAGUUAUCUGUGAAAUCCCUGGGCUCAACCUGGGCAGGUCAGAUAAUACUGCUGAACUCGAGUAUGGGAGGGGGUAGUGGAAUUUCCGGUGCAGCGGUGAAAUGCGUAGAGAUCGGAAGGAACACCAGUGGCGAAGGCGGCUACCUGGCCUAAUACUGACACUGAGGCACGAAAGCGUGGGGAGCAAACA